UGGCGGACGGGUGAGUAAUGUCUGGGAAACUGCCUGAUGGAGGGGGAUAACUACUGGAAACGGUAGCUAAUACCGCAUAACGUCGCAAGACCAAAGAGGGGGACCUUAGGGCCUCUUGCCGUCGGAUGUGCCCAGAUGGGAUUAGCUAGUAGGUGGGGUAACGGCUCACCUAGGCGACGAUCCCUAGCUGGUCUGAGAGGAUGACCAGCCACACUGGAACUGAGACACGGUCUAG
rnacentral:rRNA from 1 species